rnacentral:rRNA from 1 species
UACGAAGGGGGCUAGCGUUGCUCGGAUUGACUGGGCGUAAAGGGCGCGUAGGCGGCUUGUACAGUCAGACGUGAAAUUCCUGGGCUCAACCUGGGGGCUGCGUUUGAUACGUAUGGGCUUGAGUUCGGAAGAGGGUCGUGGAAUUCCCAGUGUAGAGGUGAAAUUCGUAGAUAUUGGGAAGAACACCGGUAGCGAAGGCGGCGACCUGGUCCGAUACUGACGCUGAGGCGCGAAAGCGUGGGGAGCAAACAGG